CUAGUGGUGGUUCAGUAGCAGAAUUCUUGCCUUCCAUGCAGGGGACCCAAGUUCCAUUCCUGGCCAGUGCA
rnacentral:tRNA from 1 species